GUGUUUAGAGGGAGUUAUUGGAUAAAAGGUAGUCAAGUGAUGUCUCACCAAUCCUAUAACAAAUUUUUUAAACCUUUCAAGGCAAAAUAUUAGCUUGUACUUCAAAAGGGAGAUGAUUAAGCAUUCUUUGAUUUAUACCUUUUCAUUUUAAAUCUUUGGCCUUUUUCCCAAUUAAAACUAACUCUUGUAAACCCCUUUGAGCCUUCAUAUUCCAAAUUUUUCUUGAAACCCUUAUUGC
rnacentral:misc_RNA from 1 species